rnacentral:ncRNA from 1 species
UUAAAAGCCAUGACGAAGAGGAGUAAAUAACUAAGUCUUUAAGAGAGGAAAGUUCACCGGCUGAAAGACUUUCUAAGAAACUGGUUGUUGAAGGUAGCUUCCGAGCUUUUCACUUGAAAUUAAGUAGAGUGAAACGGUUUUCCGUUAAAAAAUUAAGUGCCGAUAACAUGUCGGAAUAAAGGUGGUACCGCGGUCCUUCGCCCUUUGC